UCCCCUAGUAACUGCGAGUGAAGCGGGAACAGCUCAAAUUUCGAAUCUGGCGGUCCUCGGCCGUCCGAGUUGUAAUCUAGAGAAGCGUCUUCCGCGCUGGACCCGUGUACAAGUCUCCUGGAAGGGAGCAUCGUAGAGGGUGACAAUCCCGUCUCUGACACGGACUUACCAGGGCUUACGCGAUGCGCUCUCGACGAGUCGAGUUGUUUGGGAAUGCAGCUCAAAUCGGGUGGUAAACUCCAUCUAAAGCUAAAUACUGGCGAGAGACCGAUAGCGAACAAGUACCGUGAGGGAAAGAUGAAAAGGACUUUGGAAAGAGAGUUAAACAGUACGUGAAAUUGCUGGAAGGGAAACGCUCCAAGUCAGUCGCGUCGGCCGGGGAUCAACCCUGCGCGAGAUGAUCGUGCACGGGCGUACUUCCUGGUCGAUGGGUCAGCAUCGAUUUCGGCCGUCAGACAAGGCCGCGGAGGAACGUGGCACUCCUCGGAGUGUGUUAUAGCCUCCCGUGCGAACGUGAUGG
rnacentral:rRNA from 1 species